GGCCGGUUGGCGCAAUGGUAGCGCGUUGCUUUCCGGUGACGCUCAUCUUGGAUGAGCUCGCUUGGCAAAGGUUGCGGGUUCGAGUCCCGUGCUGGUCG